rnacentral:rRNA from 1 species
CGGGGAGAUUCAUCGUCAGCGGCGCUGGCUUCGCGUCGGUGGGCGAUGUCCCGCGGUGCCGCCUCGUCGCGGCUCCCGCGCGGGCACGCUGCCGCGCGCCGAUGUCCGGCGAACGUCGUCGUGCACUUCUCCCCUAGUAGGACGUCGCGACCCGCUGGGUGUCGGUCUACGGCCCGGGGCUGAGGCGACUGCCGCGCGGCACGUAAAAACUGCGCGCGGCAAACUCCCGGUCGCCCGGCCGACUGCCCGGCGGUAUGCGCUACGGUAUCAGGCCGCGCCUCGCGCGCGUCGAGCCCGUCGCAAGCGAGCGCCACGGUACCCGGAGGUACGGACCCAGCGCCGUCCCCGGUCCUGGCCCGCUGCUGGCUGCCUCGCACGGUGUAACCUUCGACCGGCCUCGAGGUCCCGCGGCCCGCGGAAACGCGGGCCCGCGGGGUGAUACCGGUCGGCGACGCUACUGCUUUGGGUACUCUCAGGA